rnacentral:rRNA from 1 species
UUCCUACGGGAGGCAGCAGUGGGGAAUAUUGGACAAUGGGGGGAACCCUGAUCCAGCCAUGCCGCGUGUGUGAAGAAGGCCUUAUGGUUGUAAAGCACUUUAAGCGAGGAGGAGGCUCUUUUGGUUAAUACCCAAGAUGAGUGGACGUUACUCGCAGAAUAAGCACCGGCUAACUCUGUGCCAGCAGCCGCGGUAAUACAGAGGGUGCGAGCGUUAAUCGGAUUUACUGGGCGUAAAGCGUGCGUAGGCGGCUUUUUAAGUCGGAUGUGAAAUCCCCGAGCUUAACUUGGGAAUUGCAUUCGAUACUGGGAAGCUAGAGUAUGGGAGAGGAUGGUAGAAUUCCAGGUGUAGCGGUGAAAUGCGUAGAGAUCUGGAGGAAUACCGAUGGCGAAGGCAGCCAUCUGGCCAAAUACUGACGCUGAGGUACGAAAGCAUGGGGAGCAAACAGGAUUAGAUACCCUGGUAGUCCAUGCCGUAAACGAUGUCUACUAGCCGUUGGGGUCUUUGAGACUUUAGUGGCGCAGCUAACGCGAUAAGUAGACCGCCUGGGGAGUACGGUCGCAAGACUAAAACUCAAAUGAAUUGACGG